GGGAAUAUAGCUCAGUGGUAGAGCACUUGUUUCUUAUGUCCAAAGACCUGGGUUCAAUCUCCAGUACCACCA
rnacentral:tRNA from 1 species